GGGCCCGCACAAGCGGUGGAGUAUGUGGUUUAAUUCGAUGCAACGCGAAGAACCUUACCAGGGUUUGACAUCCUGCGAAUCUCUUGGAAACGAGAGAGUGCCUUCGGGAACGCAGUGACAGGUGGUGCAUGGCUGUCGUCAGCUCGUGUCGUGAGAUGUUGGGUUAAGUCCCGCAACGAGCGCAACCCACGUCUUUAGUUGCCAGCAUUUAGUUGGGCACUCUAGAGAGACUGCCGGUGAUAAACCGGAGAAGGUGUGGAUGACGUCAAGUCAUCACGGGCCCUUACGUCUGGGCCACACACGUGCUACAAUGGCCGGUACAGAGAGCAGCCACUACGCGAGUAGGAGCGAAUCUUCAAAACCGGUCUC
rnacentral:rRNA from 1 species